UACGUAGGUGGCAAGCGUUAUCCGGAAUUACUGGGCGUAAAGCGCACGCAGGCGGUCUUUUAAGUUUGACGUGAAAGCUCCCGGCUUAACUGGGAGAGGUCGUUGAAUACUGGAAGACUUGAGGAAGUGAGAGGGGUGUAGAAUUCCUGGUGUAGUGGUGGAAUGCGUAGAUAUCAGGAGGAAUACCAGUGGCGAAAGCGGCACCCUAGCAUUUUUCUGACGCUCAUGUGCGAAAGCGUGGGGAGCGAACGGG
rnacentral:rRNA from 1 species